rnacentral:rRNA from 1 species
UACGGGGGGAGCAAGCGUUGUUCGGAUUUACUGGGCGUAAAGCGCGCGCAGGCGGUCCCGUAAGUCGGACGUGAAAGCCCAGGGCUCAACCUUGGAAGUGCGUCUGAUACUGCGAGACUGGAGUACUGGAGAGGAGAGCGGAAUUCCCGGUGUAGAGGUGAAAUUCGUAGAUAUCGGGAGGAACACCAGUGGCGAAGGCGGCUCUCUGGACAGAUACUGACGCUGAGGCGCGAAAGCGUGGGAAGCAAACAGG